CUGCCCAGUGACAGAGUUCAACGGCCGCGGUAUCCUAACCGUGCAAAGGUAGCAUAAUAACUUGCCUAUUAAUUGUAGGCUAGAAUGAACGGACAAACGAAACUAAAGCUGUCUCAAUUAGUAACCCCAAAAAUUAAUAUCUACACGAAGAAAACUAGAUAUUGUCGAAGGACAAGAAGACCCUACAGAGCUUUAUUUCUAAUGUGGGAACAACUACAGAAAAAUUCGGUUGGGGCGACCAAGGUCACAUUUAACUCCCUGAAAAGUUGAGAUAUAUUUAUCUACUAAAUGACCCCCCUAAGAUCACAAAAUCAAGCUACCUUAGGGGUAACAGACUUAUCCUAUUAAAGAGUCCAUAUCAAUAAUGGGAUUUGGCACCUCGAUGUUGGCUUAGGGUAUCAACAUAGCGCAAAAGUUAUAUAUAGAUGGUUUGUUCAACCAACAAUACCCU
rnacentral:rRNA from 1 species